AAGGUGGCCUGUGAGGGUUGCUGGAGGUAUCAGAAGUGCGAAUGCUGACAUAAGUAACGAUAAAGCGGGUGAAAAGCCCGCUCGCCGGAAGACCAAGGGUUCCUGUCCAACGUUAAUCGGGGCAGGGUGAGUCGACCCCUAAGGCGAGGCCGAAAGGCGUAGUCGAUGGGAAACGGGUUAAUAUUCCCGUACUUGGUGUUACUGCGAAGGGGGGACGGAGAAGGCUAUGUUGGCCGGGCGACGGUUGUCCCGGUUUAAGCGUGUAGGUGUGUGUUCCAGGUAAAUCCGGUUCACUUUAACACUGAGGCGUGACGACGAGGCACUACGGUGCUGAAGCAACAAAUGCCCUGCUUCCAGGAAAAGCCUCUAAGCAUCAGGUAACAUCAAAUCGUACCCCAAACCGACACAGGUGGUCAGGUAGAGAAUACCAAGGCGCUUGAGAGAACUCGGGUGAAGGAACUAGGCAAAAUGGUGCCGUAACU
rnacentral:rRNA from 1 species